AUGUGUCGCUGGGGGAAGCGUGGUCUCCCUCUUUAUCUCUGGGGGGGGGGGGGGGGGCAGCAGGCCGCCCGCGAGGUCAUCAGCCCCGGGGGCGGGGGCGGGGGGCGGGGGCGGGGGCGGGGGCGGGACGCUGCAGAAACACUCUCUGCUAUUGAGCUGGAGCCGGUGGAGCGCUGCAACACACCACUCCCUCACUCCCUCACUCCCCCACUCCCUCACUCCCUCACUCCCCCACUCCCUCACUCCCCCACUCCCUCACUCCCUCACUCCCCCACUCCCUCACUCCCCCACUCCCUCACUCCCUCACUCCCUCACUCCCCCACUCCCUCACUCCCCCACUCCCUCACUCCCUCACUCCCCCACUCCCUCACUCCCCCACUCCCCCACUCCCCCACUCCCCCACUCCCUCACUCCCUCACUCCCCCACUCCCCCACUCCCCCACUCCCUCACUCCCUCACUCCCCCACUCCCCCACUCCCCCACUCCCUCACUCCCUCACUCCCCCACUCCCUCACUCCCUCACUCCCCCACUCCCUCACUCCCUCACUCCCUCACUCCCCCACUCCCUCACUCCCUCACUCCCUCACUCCCCCACUCCCUCACUCCCUCACUCCCCCACUCCCCCACUCCCCCACUCCCUCACUCCCCCACUCCCUCACUCCCUCACUCCCCCACUCCCUCACUCCCCCACUCCCCCACUCCCUCACUCCCCCACUCCCUCACCCCACUCCCCCACUCCCUCACUCCCCCACUCCCUCACCCCACUCCCCCACUCCACUCCCCCACUCCCCCACCCCACUCCCCCACUCCCUCACUCCCCCACUCCCUCACUCCCCCACUCCCUCACCCCACUCCCCCACUCCCUCACUCCCCCACUCCCUCACUCCCCCACUCCCUCACCCCACUCCCCCACCCCACUCCCCCACUCCCUCACCCCACUCCCCCACUCCCUCACUCCCCCACUCCCCCACUCCCUCACUCCCCCACUCCCUCACCCCACUCCCCCACUCCACUCCCCCACUCCCUCACCCCACUCCUCCACUCCCUCACUCCCCCACUCCCUCACUCCCCCACUCCCUCACCCCACUCCCCCACUCCCUCACCCCACUCCCCCACUCCCUCACUCCCCCACUCCCCCACUCCCCCACUCCCUCACCCCUCACUCCCUCACUCCCCCACUCCCUCACUCCCCCACUCCCUCACUCCCUCACUCCCCCACUCCUCCACUCCCUCACUCCCCCACUCCCUCACUCCCCCACUCCCCCACUCCCCCACUCCCUCACUCCCCCACUCCCUCACUCCCUCACUCCCCCACUCCCUCACUCCUCCACUCCCUCACUCCCCCACUCCCUCACUCCCCCACUCCCCCACUCCCUCACUCCCCCACUCCCCCACUCCCCCACUCCCUCACUCCCCCACUCCCUCACUCCCUCACUCCCUCACUCCCCCACUCCCCUCACUCCCUUGACUCCCCAAAGGGUCCAUUUCUUAUGCUGA
rnacentral:lncRNA from 1 species